CGGCGCGCUUACACAUGCAAGUCGCACGAGAAAGGGCUUCGGCCCCGGUAAAGUGGCGCACGGGUGCGUAACACGUAGGCAACCUUCCCUUGAGCGGGGGAUAACGUUUCGAAAGAGACGCUAAUACCGCAUAAGACCACGACCGGUUCGCCGGUUGCGGUCAAAGCUGGCCUCUCCACGGAAGCUAGCACUUAAGGACGAGCCUGCGGCCCAUCAUGCUAGUUGGUAGGGUAAUGGCCUACCAAGGCGAAGACGGGUAGCUGGUCUGAGAGGAUGAUCAGCCACACUGGAACUGAAACACGGUCCAGACUCCUACGGGAGGCAGCAGUGGGGAAUAUUGGACAAUGGGCGAAAGCCUGAUCCAGCGACGCCGCGUGAGUGAUGAAGGCCUUCGGGUUGUAAAGCUCUGUUGAGGGAGAAGAAAACAGUUAGGGCUAAUAGGCCUAGCUCUUGACGGUACCCCUUUAGAAAGCACCGGCUAACUUCGUGCCAGCAGCCGCGGUAAUACGAAGGGUGCAAGCGUUACUCGGAAUUACUGGGCGUAAAGCGUGCGUAGGUGGUUCGUUAAGUCUGAUGUGAAAGCCCUGGGCUCAACCUGGGAAUUGCAUUCGAAACUACAGGCCUAGAGUGAUGGAGAGGGUAGCAGAAUUCCUGGUGUAGAGGUGAAAUUCGUAGAUAUCAGGAGGAACACCGGUGGCGAAGGCGGCUACCUGGACAUCAACUGACGCUGAGACGCGAAAGCGUGGGGAGCAAACAGGAUUAGAUACCCUGGUAGUCCACGCCGUAAACGAUGAGUGCUGGGUGUCGUGGUUUUGACCCCCGCGGUGCCGUAGCUAACGCGUUAAGCACUCCGCCUGGGGAGUACGGCCGCAAGGCUAAAACUCAAACGAAUUGACGG
rnacentral:rRNA from 1 species